UGUUGUGCUGCCUCCUGAAGGUUUAGUGUCACGCCCCCAGAAUGGUAGGGGCGGACAAGAACCGCAUGAACAUCUGCUUUAUAAAUAACCUAUGACAUAUACGGAGUUAUAAAAUAAUAAACGAGCGGAAGAUCUAUUGCGAGUUAAAUACACAUACUAUCUGAGUUAUCUGGAGAAAAAUUGUAUUUAAUUCUAGGAAGCCUCUGAAGAGUUUACAACACUGUGUUACUAAUAACUAGUCAAGAUAGGCCCCAAGGUACCCAAUUAGCAACCUGUACAUAUAGCCAAAAGUACUAGACAUAAUUUGGCUCCAAGUAGAGAUGGAGCUCACCCACAUACCAGCUGGGGAGGGCUAGGAACCUUAACAUGGAUAUCUAUUCACUUGCGGACCUGAUCUUGUAUUUACAAAGAUGCGGCGCCCCCAACAUAAGGACGUCUGUACAUAUACAAAACGUACUGGUAUAUAAAGCAUAUAUAAAGCAGACAGUAUAACAUAUGGACAUAUAAGGAUGCUCAAUGAAUCAAGUAACAAAAUGCGCAAUUGUACAUAACUGAAUAGUAGAAACUCCUAUAUGGAACUAUAGCUUAUGAGCGUAUAAGUGACAGAUAUGUAGUAUAAAAUGAUAGCCUAUGCAUUUGCCUUGUUAACUUAUCAUAUGACGUCUUAUUAUGAGUAAUUCAUCAUUAUGAAGCGCAUGGUGAUGGCUUUACUACAAAUAAUCAUAUGAUGGCCUAUCAAAGGCAAUCGAUGGCAAAUAUAUAGCAUAUGUUGGUUAAAUACUCAUUGCUACGAUUUUAUACGUAUAACUGUAAUCGCAGUCUGAUACAGGAUAUGCCCCCCAUGGGCUCACUAUGAGGGUCUGUUUGCGGGCCAUAUGUGUCAUAUAUUGGCUCGAGUUAGGGGAACCAGUACAUGACAUUCCAGUUGACUCCAAAUAUAAAUGAUGCCACAAGGGCGGGUACGCCACAAUGUUUGGGCUCACUAUAAUUAUCUUGUCUCAAUUCUGUGCACAGAAUUACGUCGCACAUGUGUGUCAAGCCAAAACUAGGAAUACCCUCCCAUCGUAAACUUUUACCAAGUAGUGCUUUCCAUAUACAACUAUUUGGCCCCGUUUGGCCAUGAAAAUCAUAAUUUUUCGGAGUUGGAGUUGUGUUUGGCCAUGAAUUUAAAUUAAAGUUGUUUUUGAAAUUUUGUGAGAGAAGUUUGAGUGAAAACAAGUAUUUUCAUGACCAAACACACAGUUUUCACUUUUUUCACUAAAGUGAAAUAAUUAUCCGGGAAAAAGUACAAACUUUUCAUGGCCAAACGGCUACUAAUUUCUUUAAUGGCAUCGAGCAAUUUAACAGUAGUUCUUUAUAUCAUCAUAUGACUAUAUUGCUUAUGUGAUCCAAUAUACCAGUGUAACUAUACUGUAGCCAUUUAUUCUAAAUAUAUAGCAUGUGAUAGAUGUACCAUAUGAACUCUAAGAAUUUCUAAUGAGCAUGAAUACAGUCAUUUAUGACUCUAUAGAUACUUGACGCGACAAAAGUGAACUCAUGAAGGUCGGAGACAAGAAAUUUCAAAUGGAAAGGGCAUGUGGAUGUUGUGGCCACAUUAGGCAUAUAGUCACCUGUUAAGACAACCUUCAGUCGUACCUUAACAACGAAGGAGGAUUUAGCUUUGCAUAUCUUUGGUGCUUUCCUAGCUAGCGGUAGAAGUGCGAGUCCCUACCAUCUCUAUAGAUGGGGUGUAAUCUUUACACAACUAACUAUGAGCUUCCACCCCCAAUUGGUGAGCAAGUAAUCCAACAUUGUCAACUACAUAUACAGUACUUAUAUAUCAUCAAUAACUCGUGAAUUCAUAUACCAAGUUGUUCCAAUACUUUUUACUUAUGCCCAAAGUUAGUCAAGUUUCUUAACAAUUAUCCGGAGUAAAUCCUUUAAUUUUUCUAACAUGUGUAAUUCAAUACCAAAUCUGUCCAGUUGGUAAGAGUUCCCAAAAAUUCUAUUUUUUCCACAAUUUCAUCUUUUCCCCUUUUUCAAGAAUCCUAGUUAUAAGACACAUUUCAAGAAGUAGCACGAAAUUCAAAUCGAAUAUCCCAAAUACUUAUCCAUAAUCAUAUUCAAGAGAGGGAUGGAGAAUUUACCUCUUGGGGUUCACCCUAACUAUCGAUUAUUGAAAUCACUUCUUCUAGAUCCUUUGAAAUUGACAUAGAAAUCUUUUAAUUUGCCUGAUCCUUAAGGAUCCAGGUGAUUCCUUCCCUUUUAAUCUCCUCAUCCACCAAAUUUUUUGCUUACUAGUUGCUGCAUGAACGGAGAAGAGGAAGAGAAUUGAGCCGCAUUAGUAUGUAGUAGUAUGUAGUAGCACCUGCAUGCUUUCUUGAUUUCCUUUUUCCCAACCAAAUAUCCCUUU
rnacentral:lncRNA from 1 species